GAAAUCAUAAACCCGAAUAUCAAUCAACUGCAAAUGCCAAAGACAUGAAAAAUUAUCAUAAAGAUGGUUAUUCAUGCAAUUUUUACAUUAACAAUUUGUAGUACUCGUAGAGACAUUACAUUAAAAAUGCUCUUGUAUUUAUUUAAUAUGAUUUAAAUGUAUUUACUAUCUAAAACAUUAAUAUAUUUAUUUAUCAUUAAUUUUGAAAAAUGCUCUUGUAUUUAUGUAUUAUGAUUUUAAUGUAUUCUAGUGAAAAGUGUCUUGCAGAAAAAGUCAGUACCAUUGAUGAGGAUCAAAUGACUAUUGUAGGAGCUACUGAAAUGGCAAAUAAAGAUAUAGAGAUUGAUGCAAAUACUAGUGCUAAGGACGCUAGAGCUGUGAAGAAGGCUAGUUCUACAUGUCGAAAGAAAAAGGUGCGUUCGAUGGCUGAAAUCCUUCAUGUCAAUGAUGAAGAAAGAAGCGACAAGUUAGCUUCUCACAAUGCAACUCCCAAAGAAUGUGUUGCU
rnacentral:lncRNA from 1 species